GAUGAACGCUAGCGGCAGGCUUAAUACAUGCAAGUCGUGGGGCAGCGCGGGUAGCAAUACCUGGCGGCGACCGGCAAACGGGUGCGGAACACGUACGCAACCUUCCUUUAAGUGAGGAAUAGCCCAGGGAAACUUGGAUUAAUACCUCGUAACAUUAUGAGAUGGCAUCAUCUUAUAAUUAUAGCUUCGGCGCUUAAAGAUGGGCGUGCGGCUGAUUAGGUAGUUGGCGGGGUAAUAGCCCACCAAGCCUACGAUCAGUAACUGGUGUGA
rnacentral:rRNA from 1 species